AGGAUAAACGCUGGCGGCGUGCCUAACACAUGCAAGUCGAACGUCCUACGCAAGUAGGGAGUGGCGGACGGGUGAGUAACACGUGGGCAAUCUACCUUUCGGUGAGGAAUACCGGCGAGAAAUCGCCGACAAUACCGCAUACGCUUCGCAAGAAGCAAAGUCGCAAGACGCCGGAGGAGGAGCCUGCGCCCGAUUAGCUGGUUGGUGAGGUAAGAGCUCACCAAGGCGACGAUCGGUAGCCGGUCUGAGAGGAUGAUCAGCCACACUGGGAUUGAGAACGGCCCAGACUCCUACGGGGGCAGCAGUGAGGAAUUUCGUCAAUGGGGGGCAACCCUGAACGAGCAACGCGCGUGCAGGAAGACGCUUUUCGGAGUGUAAACUGCUUUCUUAGGGACGAGUAAGGACGGUACCUAAAGGAAUAAGCCCCGGACGUAAACCUACGUGCCAAGCAGCCGC
rnacentral:rRNA from 1 species